ACAGAUUUAUCUCAUGUUCUAAAUCUGCACUCAAACGCUCACGCACUUCCACCGUUCAUUUCUCUUAUUUUCUUUGCCUAUAUUUGUUGGGCCAUAUCAUCUUUAUUGGACAGAAUUGCUCACACAGAACAGCUAGACAUCCUUAACACCAUCCUUUUCAAACAUCGACAAUACUUGCCUUCAUUCAACCCUUUUCUUCUUGUUUUCUUUUUCCUUUUUAUUUUCUUUUAAGAAAAUAUCCACCCACACCCCACCAUUUGGUCGCUUUCCAUUUUGUCUUCAAAUACUGUCAAAGUUUAAGUUUUUUCUUCCCCUGUCCCUUUUUUUUGGUGAUAUGUUUAUUUGAUGAUUCCAUUGUGCGGGUGGUGGCAGCAGCUGGAGCUGAGGCAAGUGAAUAUAGUGAGGCUUGAUGCUGUCAGGCCUACUGGAUCCAAGAAUACAGUCUUUGAUGACAUUUUGGUAAUUUUGUGCAUUUAUUUCUACUCCAUGAAAUGAUGGCCAAUUUUCUGGGAAAGGAAAAGGGCGGAAGAAGACGCUUCUUCACUUCAGCGUUGGGUUUCUACAUAUUACUGUAAAUGGAGAUGCAUGCAAUCCUGGAGCUUUUUGGUCAGUGAUCUUGUAAUUUUGGGGAUCUUUGUGAUAAAACAGAGACCCUUCAACAUCCAGGCACUUGAUAUUUUCUUUUAAUAAAGAGUAUACUUCUUUUUAUUUGAUCAAUUCCUAUGAGAGGAAAGUAUUAUUUUCCGUCAUGAUUGUAACAACCUUUACAUUUGCUAAGAGUAGUUUCAUUCUAUGACAC